GAGCAUAGACCUUUCAAUAUCCAGAAAAUGGAUUAUAGUUUUUCUGUGUUCUUUAAAAAAGAGUCGCAAGAUUAACGAAGCAUGCCAAUUGGCAGAUGUUAUGAAUCAUUAUAGCUCACCUCAAAUAGAACGUGUCCCCAGAGAACAACUCUAGUAGUGGAAUCCACAGAAUUCACAUUCAAGGAUCGUGAAAUUAUGCUCCAAUUCCCUAAUGACAGUCACCAUUUUGUCUUGAAUAGCUGGUAAAAGAACGUUCAAAAUGAUUCUCAGAGGCACAAGUUACAUGAGUCUCUGCUACCCUAAGAUGGCGUCAAACUAUUGAAGUUUGUU
rnacentral:lncRNA from 1 species